rnacentral:rRNA from 1 species
UACAGAGGGGGCCAGCGUUAUUCGGAAUUAUUGGGCGUAAAGCGCGUGUAGGCGGCUUGGCAAGUCGGGUGUGAAAUCCCUCAGCUUAACUGAGGAAGUGCGCCCGAAACGGCUUUGCUUGAGUGCCGGAGAGGAUGGCGGAAUUCCCCAAGUAGAGGUGAAAUUCGUAGAUAUGGGGAGGAACACCGGUGGCGAAGGCGGCCAUCUGGACGGUAACUGACGCUGAGACGCGAAAGCGUGGGGAGCGAACAGG